AACCUUUUAUAUCCGUGGUGAGAUUUCGUCAUCAAUCACCCCAUUGGGGCUGAUGCAACUUCCCAGAUAAGUGAAGUG
rnacentral:pre_miRNA from 1 species